UUGGGUCAGGGUGGGGAUGGUGAGAGGAAUACUGCAAUAAAGCCUGGAGUGCAAAUUCAGAUGGCUGAAAUACAUCUGCUGCCCGGGAUGAACAACAGAGAGGUCAGAGAAUGAUCACAGAAUGAGGAAGAUGUUGAACCUGCAAGGAGAGGGAAUGGAAAGAAGGGUGGAUGAGAAGUGGCAAGAGAUGAAGGAAAAGAAAGGAAUUUUAUGUCUUAUUCUUCAAGCAGAAGGCUAUCAAACAAAGCUGCCCAACCUUACACUCAUCCAUCAACCUUGAGUUAUUAAGAGAAUAACUGCGGAACAUUUACAAGUGGAUGGGAUGGAGUGCUGGCUGCUUUUCAAGAACACAGAGUCAGUGCUUCAAAAACUUUGCAAGAUGGCAAAUUUUCUCAUGCUGCCUGUUCCUUGCUCUGCUAGGACCUGCUAGAAGGAAUGGUUUCUUGAAUUUAGGAUAACUAAUCUAGGUUGAUGCCAAAACUGUUAAUCAUAUCAUAUCUAGGACCAGAUCAUUAUUUUAUCUGAGUAAAAUAUCUUUUUUUUUUC